rnacentral:rRNA from 1 species
AGGACGAACGCUGGCGGCGUGCUUAACACAUGCAAGUCAAGGGGGCCCAGUAGCAAUACUGGGCAACCGGCGAACGGGUGCGUAACACGUGAGCAACCUACCGAAAUGUGGGGGAUAGCCGGCCUAACGGCCGAGUAAUACCGCAUACGCUCUCGAUGAGGCAUUUCAUUGAGAGGAAACCUACGGGACAUUUCGAGGGGCUCGCGGCCUAUCAGCUAGUUGGCGAGGUAACGGCUCACCAAGGCAACGACGGGUAGC